UCUCUGGUAGUAUAUCGGUUAGUACACCCGCCUGUCAUGGCUUAGUCAGUCAGCGGUGCGCGGGAAAGCGGGGUUCGACUCCCCGCCAGAGAG